UCUUUUUCCAAACAGAAUGUUCGUCUCCCUUGACUCCGACUCUUCCAACUCUCAGAUUUCGCUUGGUUUCCAUUGAGAUGUUAUCCUUCCACCUUCCAACGUUUCUCCUCUUGGAAAGCGAUGGGUCUCUUGCUAAUUACCCUCACGACAGCACCUUAUAUAUACCUUCUUCAGCUAAUAUGUUCUUCACAAGAUUCGUCAACUAUAUGGCUUCCAUGCAACCAAGCGAGAUCUGGAUGCUUUCAAUCAACACUGUCAAGUCAAAACAAGGCUACGCUUACGAGAUGAAGUCAGCAUAGAAAAUAGUAGUGAAGGAGCUGAGGUAGAUCGCUGAGGACAAUCAACAGCUAAACUGGUUUAAGAACCAGCUGACAAAAUAGAACAAGCACGCCUAGGCCCUUGAGGAAUCUCUGGGAAUUUUGAGCAAGAAGCUGCAUAAGAUAACCGUGUUGUGAGAAAGAGAACAAAAAUGCAGCAUGAGCAGAGCAUAGAAGAGAUGGAUUCACAAGAAAUGUUUUCCAAAGACUCAGUCAGACAAAUACAUGAGAAAAGAGACACUAAGUAAGAGAAUUUUGGGAUGAUGCAGCAGCAGGAGCGUGCUAAAGUUGUUGAUUUGCGCAACUGGUACUUACAGAAAUCCUGCCUUUCUGGUGAAACACAAAGAGUAACAAGAGAAAAGAGUUUGUGGAGGAGAGGGAGUAUCCGAUUCAAGAGCAGGAGAAGAAGAUGGUAGAGAGGAAAACAGGAUGUUUCAAAGAGAUGGUUGAUCUAUAUAGUGAAUUCGAUGUCUUUGGAGCUGUCCAUGAGCAAGAACGGCCAUUACUUCCCAUUUUUUCAGCCCAAUGCUUGAUUUCUUUCUUUCACCUUUUCAGUUCAAUCUUGAAGAAUUAGAAGCUGGACUUUCUGAAAUCAAUGCUAAUAAUGACAAGCUGCAGCACUUUUACAAUAAACUUGUGGAGUAUAAACUUCUUUUUGACAAGUCAGAAGUACUACCGCUCAACAGAGUGAGACAGAAUCACAGCAACUGGGUGAAAACACCCUCGAGGCUCUUUUUAUGCAGGAAAUAUGAAAUCUGCGAUUGUUUUACUUCUUCAAGUUGUGUUUUCUGCAAAUAGUUUUACAAGCUGCUUUUUUUAACAGGAGCAGUCUGUUGAUCCAACAGAGCAAGUAAAGCUGGGAUUUCUCAAUGGGCUGGUGCCACGCGAAAGUCUAUGGUGUUCGAGACCUAUUUCUGAAAUUAAUAGUUACUGUGUGUUUUUUUGGUUCCUGCAGCUGAGCAAAACUAUUCGCCACAUCUCAAGACAACUUCAAUGGGGAUAGUGAUAUAUCCAGCAGGUUUGAUGAUUCUCUUUAGAUAUUUCUAAGACGAAUACAAGAAUCCAGAGAUUUACAUUAUGGAGAAUGGAAAGUACGGAGUCAAGCGAAAGGCUGUUGGUAUCUGGGGAUGCAAGGACUUCGGCAAGGCCGGUGGUGCCUACACCAUGAACACCGCCAGUGCUGUCACCGUUAGAAUCACAAUCAGGAGGUUGAGAGAGCAGAUCGUUAAUAUCGCUUUUUUGCUUUUUUUGUAAUAGUUUUGGUUUCUCUGUUUUUAACAAUUGUGAUGUCGAGAACUACUAUGCUUUUUAUUCAAGACGCUAUUGCAUUAGACUUGAAUCAAUGUUUUUAUUCGAGUUUUGA